rnacentral:rRNA from 1 species
GAUGAACGCUGGCGGCGUGCCUAAUACAUGCAAGUCGAGCGAACGGACGGGAAGCUUGCUUUUCUGAUGUUAGCGGCGGACGGGUGAGUAACACGUGGAUAACCUACCUAUAAGACUGGGAUAACUUCGGGAAACCGGAGCUAAUACCGGAUAAUAUGUUGAACCUCAUGGUUCAAAAGUGAAAGACGGUCUUGCUGUCACUUAUAGAUGGAUCCGCGCUGCAUUAGCUAGUUGGUAAGGUAACGGCUUACCAAGGCAACGAUGCAUAGCCGAUCUGAGAGGGUGAUCGGCCACACUGGAACUGAGACACGGUCCAGACUCCUACGGGAGGCAGCAGUAGGGAAUCUUCCGCAAUGGGCGAAAGCCUGACCGAGCAACGCCGCGUGAGUGAUGAAGGUCUUCGGAUCGUAAAACUCUGUUAGUAGGGAAGAACAUAUGUGUAAGUAACUGUGCAUGUCUUGACGGUACCUAAUCAGAAAGCCACGGCUAACUACGUG